UGGGGAAUUUUGGACAAUGGGGGAAACCCUGAUCCAGCCAUCCCGCGUGUGCGAUGAAGGCCUUCGGGUUGUAAAGCACUUUUGGCAGGAAAGAAACGUCGCGGGUUAAUACCCCGCGAAACUGACGGUACCUGCAGAAUAAGCACCGGCUAACUACGUGCCAGCAGCCGCGGUAAUACGUAGGGUGCAAGCGUUAAUCGGAAUUACUGGGCGUAAAGCGUGCGCAGGCGGUUCGGAAAGAAAGAUGUGAAAUCCCAGAGCUUAACUUUGGAACUGCAUUUUUAACUACCGGGCUAGAGUGUGUCAGAGGGAGGUGGAAUUCCGCGUGUAGCAGUGAAAUGCGUAGAUAUGCGGAGGAACACCGAUGGCGAAGGCAGCCUCCUGGGAUAACACUGACGCUCAUGCACGAAAGCGUGGGGAGCAAACAGGAUUAGAUACCCUGGUAGUCCACGCCCUAAACGAUGUCAACUAGCUGUUGGGGCCUUCGGGCCUUGGUAGCGCAGCUAACGCGUGAAGUUGACCGCCUGGGGGAGUACGGUCGCAAGAUUAAAAACUU
rnacentral:rRNA from 1 species